CUCUGGAAGCGUGUGGUGUGUUUGUUUCGUGCUUCGACCAGGGAUCGAACCAAAACGGGAAAUGUUAUUGGUGCAAGUGUGAAAGAGUGCGGUUGUGUUGUGUUUUCUUCCCUGCGUUGGAUAAUGGUCAUCCCUAGGAGAGCCCGAAUUAAUAAGGCUAGGAUCCGAGAAGGGCAGCCUUAUAAAGGUAGGAUUUUCUUUUUUUGCAUGGUGGUGUUGGGUUUAUUGCACUUUUUAUUUUAUGUAUCUAGCAGUGGGGAAAAGUGAAUAGUGCAUAACCAAAAGGUAAGGUAGUGAGUCUGGCUGACCUUCGUACGGUAAAAUUAAGUGAGGUAUGUCCCUCUUCUCGCCCAUCUUAGUUACGUAAGCGUGGCUGCAAGUUCUUCUCUCAGAAUCAAUCAAUUUAUUUCACAAUAUUCAGUAUUGCAGCUCAACUUUCCGUUUCGAAGUUGAGCGAUUUCGAAGAUUUCCAUACCUCACUUAGUAUAUCACUAGAAGGUCAACUUUGCGCUUUUUAGAAAAAGGUAAGUGCGUUUGAAUCACCAUAAGCGUUUCGUUUAUUGAGUGUUUAUGAUUCUUUGGUAAACGAACGCGCAGAAAACUUGGAACAGUGUUGGCCUAAUGGGCCUACUUACUGAUUUUCUCGAUUGUUCACAGCGUCAUCGAUGGGAUUGCAGCGUGUAACCUGUUGAAGAUCCAACACUGUCAUGCUCAAGGUCAACCCACGGUCCGGUGACAGAGUCGUGUGGAUGCCGCUUAGACGAGCGAGUAAUGGACAACGGAGAAAGAUGUCUACCAGGAGUUGUGCAGUGCCGUCCCUUCUAUGGUUAUGGUUCUUCCCAGGCGAGACCGAUUUAAUAAGGCUAAGGAUUCCAGAAGGGCAGCCUUAUCAAGGUAGGAUUUUUUUUUCUAUGCAUGGGCAUUUUCUUUUUUUGUGUAUUUAGGAGUGCAGUGGGGGGGAAGUGAAUAGUGCGUAUACAUCAGCGUCGAAACUUUCGUGCAAUAAUACGCUUUGUCUUGUGACUGUCCUCCAAGUCUAUCAUCUUGGUAAUGUAAGAUUGGGUCAAAUGGUCUGCUUCGCACCGUCAACCAACUUUCCCCAUUUUAAUUGGUAUGCCUAUGAAUUCAUAGCCACACUGUUAGAAUGGAGUAAUUUGAUUUUCUCUGCAAAACAAAUAUUUCGUUUCCAAGCUGAGUGACUUCGAGAACUGUUAGAAUUCAUGUAUUAUUACACAAAAAUAGGUAUUUUUGGUUUUAAGGGUAGGUAACCAAUUGAAUCACUAGAUUACUUGAAUUCUUACUAAUUGCAAUGUUUUGCUGUUCGCAGUAGCAGACCACUAUAUCUACUGUUGUGGGGGGACCUGGCGUGAUGGACAACUACCCAACCCAUCCUGUUGAUCACAAGGAAUUUGUUCAAGUAAAGAAAGCUAUGGUAACAAAGAUGUCGUAUGUCGUGCCUCUCAUGGUAAGCGAUUCUUCCCAGGCGAGCCCGAAUUAAUAAGGCUAAUGAUUCCAGAAGAGCAGCCUUAUCAAGGUAGGAUCUUUCUUUUUGCAUGCGACUACAUUUUCUUUUCCACAUUUUUGUGUGUAUUUACCAGUAGGGCAAAGUACAAUAGAGGUCAAAGACUGUUUUGACAGAAAUUUGUAUCAUAAAACUGAGUGGGGUGUAAUAAUCCCCUUAACUUAUCAUCUUGGUGAUGUAUAACAUUAACUUUCGCUCCCAUGCGGAAUAUCCGAUUUAUUUAUAGGCGUAGAACAUAAAGAUUCCUUCUCAAAUGAUCUGCUAGCAGAUUGGAAAUAUUUAUACUCAAUCCAAUUUUGAAACCUUUUUCUUUGAAAAAUUCAAAACUGAUUUUAUUUUCCACCACGGUUAAAAUGCGCGCAGUGAUCGGUCGUAUCGAAAAAAGUGGUAGUGGUUGUGGUAAUGAAAAUCCUUCCUUGAUAAUUUGUACUAAAUUAAACAUAGCAAAUCCUUCAAGUCAUUCAGUUGUGUUUAUGGGACCAGAUAACAUUUACGGAGUAGGGCUCUUGACAGAGGGAAAAGUGUCUAAGCCGCCUCGAGUGUAAACUUUUGAUGCGACAUGGACUGUACUACCAUCCGGCAAGAGCUUUUCUCCUAAAUUUGAUCUGCCUCCUAAAAACAAGGUAAUUAAUCGUACAGCAGUCUUUAAAAUUGAUAGCUUCAUUUAUUUUUCGAAGCUGACUGACUUAGUGGAACGUUAUGAGCCUCUAGUACUUUGAAAAGGUAAGUGAGUCUUCGGGGGUUCAGUGGGACCACUUGAGCCAUCUGAAGAUGGCCAACGCCCCACUCCCAUUAUCUUAAAAAAUCUCACUUUACACGUUCUUUGCUGCACCUUUACUAACUUUAGUCACGUUCCUGAUUCUCCUAUCUUGGAUUUUGCCUCAUACGCAGCACAUUCUAACCUUUGAGAUAUUUACUCUGCCUGUCAUUACUCGCACUAUGUGCUCGGAACCAACUUCCUAUACUCGACCUAUCCCGAAGUGGACUGCUUGACCAAGACAAGCAGGGGUGGUGGUGGGCCCACUUCCUUCCUUUCUCCCUUCCCGGUAUAUUUAAAUACAGUUUCAUAUAAAAAUUCUCUUAGCAGUCCUCGAUUUCGAGGAGUGUCACGUUUGUGGCGAUGUUGUAUUCAAUAGUCCUAAUUAAGAUAACCGAAACGGAAUCAGACCCCCCACACAUCUCGUCUUCAGACAUCUGGAGUCCAACUGAAAAACAUUGCUUUACAGUUAUCAAAAGAUGCAAAAAGGACAAUCUUCCAUUCCACCGAAUGUUCGCUUAUUUAUUCUUAUAAUUCCACUACCAAAUCUAACUAGGGCUACCGUUACAAGGGGUGUCACAUUGGUGAUGCAUCACGAUUGUUUUUUUAUCUAAUUAUGGAGGAUUAUAUCAACUUCAUAUUCCAAACAUAAGAUUUAUCCCCUAACAUUACUUUAAUUAUUAAUUCUCUCAAGAAAAGAAGGUGGUGCUUUAACACUUUUUAUCUUGGAUUAAUGUACUUAAGUGGGGCCCUAGAAACUCAAGAUACUUGAAUACAAAAACUUUACCUCUAAAAAUAAAUUGUAACUUCUUCCGAAGAUUCCCUUUACCUUGCAAUUUCAUACUGUCAGUAAGUCAUUACUCUGGCGGUUAAAAACCUUUAAUGUUUUUGAUUCAAUAAUAUCAAAAAAUGCCCCUAAAAAUUUUUAAAUCACGAUUAGUAUUUUGCUUCCGGGCUGAGUGACUUCGGGAACUGUUACAUUUCACCGCUUUUAUUUAAGAGCUAGUAGCGGACUACCAGAUCUAAUGUUGUGGAUCGACCGACUCCAAUCCUGCCGUGACGGAUCGGAUCGAAUCCAGGGAACCGCCGACCUUGUUCUCCACAUAGAAUUUGUUUACUUAAAUUUAAAAAAAAA